rnacentral:rRNA from 1 species
UACCAGCAAUGGUGCGUUAGUGGCGAACGGUCGCGUAACACGUAAGCAACCUGCCCUAAGGUGGGGGAUAACAGUCCGAAAGGAUUGCUAAUACCGCAUGUGGUUCCGAGGCGGCAUCGCUUUGGAUCUAAAGAUUUAUCGCCAUAGGAUGGGCUUGCGGCCUAUCAGGUAGUUGGUGGGGUAACAGCCUACCAAGCCGACGACGGGUAGCUGGUCUGAGAGGACGAUCAGCCGGAUUGGGACUGAGAUACGGCCCAGACUCCUACGGGGGGCAGCAAUUAGGAAUCUUGCGCAAUGGGGGCAACCCUGACGCAGCGACGCCGCGUGAAGGAUGAAGGAUUUCGGUCUGUAAACUUCUUUAGUGGGGGACGAAGAAUGUGACGGUACCCCAAAAAUAAGCCCCGGCUAACUACGUGCCAGCAGCCGCGGUAAUACGUAGGGGGCGAGCGUUGUCCGAAGUUACUGGGCGUAAAGCGCGCGUAGGCGGCUAACUAAGUCUGAGGUGAAAGGUUCAACGCUCAACGUGAACAGUGCCUUGGAGACUGGUUGGCUUGAGUGUGGCAGAGGAGCAUGGAAUUCCUGGUGUAGCGGUGAAAUGCGUAGAGAUCAGGAGGAAUACCAAUGGCGAAGGCAGUGCUCUGGGCUAACACUGACGCUGAGGUGCGAAAGCGUGGGUAGCGAACGGGAUUAGAUACCCCGGUAGUCCACGCCGUAAACGAUGAGUGCUAGGUGUAGGCGGUAUCGACCCCGCCUGUGCCGUCGUUAACACAUUAAGCACUCCGCCUGGGGAGUACGGCCGCAAGGUUGAAACUC